rnacentral:lncRNA from 1 species
AUACUUUGGUGCUCAAACUUUAAUUUGUAAUAAUUUUGAUUUGAACUUCUAAAUUGUUAUAAUCUGCUCUCAUAAUCUAAAUUUGCUAACUGAAUAUUGACUUGUCGCUAAUGUGAAAAUAAUAUAUUUUCUAACUUUUAUUGUAUCAUUCAUCACAAUACGGCUAUAUCACUUCCACUGUUCCAUAUUAGCUACAUAUUAAUAUUUAGUCAACCAAAUUAGGUUACCAGACUUGAUUCUAAAAAUUUGAAAAUUCGAGCUAGAAAUUAUAAUGAAUUAAAAUUUGAAGACCAAAAUAUCACACGCCUCAUAGUUUGUGGACCAAAAAUGUAAUUUAGCUUUAGGUAAAAAUAUAUAGAACUUAUAUGGACUAUAUCCUAUUUUGAUUAGAUAUUUAGAUUACCUAACUUAUCAAAAUUUUAAUUUUAGUAUCCAACUUUACAAUAAGUUUGAUUUAAGUUAUUUGAUGACUCCGGUAUAAAAUUUAAGUUAUUUACUUACAUUAAUAAAUUUAUAGUUAUAUAAAUAUAAAUUCAAAUACAACAUAAAAUAUUUAUACAUUAUAUAAUACAGAAUCUAUUUGGAUUCAGGUUCCAUUCGGCUU